CCCAUUUGCCUUUCUGAAUGAGGACUGAUUAUCUUAACCAAGGUCCUCCAUGUUGCUUAGCUUCUUUAGGUGUACAAAUUUUAGUAUUGAUUAUCCUAUAUUAUAUGUCUAAUAUCCAAUCAUAAGUGAGUAUAUACCAAGUAUGUCUUUCUACUUCUGGGUUAACUCACUCAAGAUAAUCUUUUCUAGUUCUCACCAUUUGCCUGCAAAUUUCAUGAUUUCCUUGUUUUUAAUUGCUGAGUAGUAUUCCAUUGUGUAUUGUACAACAAUUACUGUAAACCAAGUAGUACAAGUAAAAAAUGUGGUACAGAGGUAAACAGGGAAUUCUCAAUAGAGGAAUAGUGAAUGGCAGAGAAACACUUAAAGGAAUGCUCAAUUACCUAGUCAUCAGAGAAAUACAAAUCUAAACACCACUGAGAUUUCACCUUAUACCCAUCAGAAUGGCUAAGAUCAAAACUCAAGUGACAACACAUGCUGGCGAGGAUGUGGAGAAAGGAGAACCCUCCUCCAUUGCUGAUACUAGGAAAUGGAACAAAUAAGGGGGCAAGAUGGCGGCACCUGGAGGACUCUCAUUCUGACCAUCAGCACACCAGGAUCAGCAAAGUGACCAGCAAUCAGAACUCGUGGCCAUAAAACACAGUGAUUGUGUUUCCCAGAUGACCUCAUUCUGUGUCCUUCCUGGGAAUUUCCUCAGUGGCUGCAUGGAAAGAAUGUGAGAGAAGAAAAAUACUGCUUUUUCUUUUUUUAUAUAAGACACUAACGCAAUUGGUUUGGAAUCCCACACUUAGGGCCUCAUUAAAGUUAACUGCUUUCCCAAAGGUCCUACUUCCAAGUACAGACAAUGAGAAGAUCUGUAUUUUGAAGGUCACAAAACUAUCCAUAUGAGAAAAUGAACAUUAAAAUCAUUAAAACAUAAAUGUUAUUAGGAUUGCAUGUGUACAACCUUAAAUCUAAAAAAAAAGCAUCUUAAAUCUCUAAAUACAAACAUACCAAGAAAAAUAUAACAAUAAGUUUGGAUUUCAUACAAUGUCAAAAAAGAGAUAUAAAUUAGGUUUGCAUUAGUUUUAUAAAAUUUUUCAUCUAUAAGUCAAUUUUCUGAAUUGAUACUAAAUUGGAGUAUAAUUUUAUUUUAAUAUUUUUGUUUUAUUAUGACUUACUGAAUGGACAAGAACUGCACAAGAUCAAGACAGACAAAAUCCAGCAUGGAGUGGGAAGUGGCAAGAAGAGAAUUUGCAAUCCACUUGAGCUGGAGUCCCAGGCCAUUAUGAAUUACUGGUAUGGAUGCUAGAAACUAAACUUAACUUCUCUAAAAGAACAAACAGU